ACAUACUAUACACUACUUGUACAGACGUACCGAGCAGGCAGUUGUUGCGGGUAGGAGUAAUAAUGACCGCACCUCUCUGUCGCUACCUUCAAAUUGAGAACUUGAAGUCCGUCCAUGUGGACGUUUGUCUUUGACGAAGACAAGCUAUAUUGGAUGCCUUUCAAUUCCAUGAGGAAUUUUUGUGAGAAGCUGGUAUACAUAUCAGUACAAGUCCACGUCCAGCGAUUUUAACCUCAGUCGUCGCGCG
rnacentral:sRNA from 1 species